GACAGAGGUCCCGAGCGUUAGGCGGAAUCACUGGGCUUAAAGCGUGUGUAGGCGGAGUUCUAAGUACCUUGUGAAAUCCCACGGCUCAACCGUGGAACUGCUUGGUAUACUGGUUCUCUUGAGCCACCUAGGGGCAACCGGAACAAACGGUGGAGCGGUGAAAUGCGUAGAUAUCGUUUGGAACGCCAAUGGUGAAAAACAGGUUGCUGGGGGGUGUGCUGACGCUGAGACACGAAAGCCAGGGGAGCAAACGGGG
rnacentral:rRNA from 1 species